rnacentral:rRNA from 1 species
UACGUAGGGGGCAAGCGUUGUCCGGAUUUAUUGGGCGUAAAGAGCGUGUAGGCGGUCUGGUAGGUCCGCUGUGAAAACUCGAGGCUCAGCCUCGAGACGCCGGUGGAAACCAUCAGACUAGAGUCCGGAAGAGGAGAGCGGAAUUCCUGGUGUAGCGGUGAAAUGCGCAGAUAUCAGGAAGAACACCCGUGGCUAAGGCGGCUCUCUAGUACGGUACUGACGCUGAGACGCGAAAGCGUGGGGAGCGAACAGG